AUUUAAGUAGCUUAAUUUAAGUAGCGUAAUAUUGAAAAUAUUAAGGUAAUAGUUUUAUUUUUAAAUG
rnacentral:tRNA from 1 species